ensembl:lncRNA
CCAAAAUGGAGCGCACAGAUGCUCCAUUUUGGUGUACUGAGGUCAGUAUUAUGUAGAGACAAAUACAUGAACAAAUAGACAAAUUGUGAAGUACUGAUUUCUAACUGAAAAUGACCAUUCCUCAACUUCAAUAUUCUAUCAUUUAUUUUAGCGAGACAUGGCACACAUCAGGACAUGAUGGUGCAUUAAUUUGAUGGAACGGUUCCAGAUUGAUGGCCACCGACAGAGGUUUGCAUACUGGACAAAUGAGGCCCCAGCAUUGCUCUAAGGAUCACUGCAGCCGAUCUACAGGAUCCCGAAGACCAGAAAAAGGGAUCAUGAGAUGCCAACAUCUGUGCUUGAUGAAAUCCUCAAAGAGGUGGUGCUCCAGGAAGGAGAUAAUGUCUACCUGACAUUGGCUCUGAAGCGCCGCUCUCGCUAUGGAAUCGGCAGGAUUCAUCAAGUGCAUCUCCUGCUGCCUCUGGAGUCUUCAGUCGAGCCUGCCUCUUACCAGCCAAUCAAAAAACGAAAGGGGCUACAUAAAAGCCAAUCAGAAAAUACCCCUACUGUAUCUGGGUAAGAUUUAACGCAACAACCAAUGACAAAAAUCAGUUAUUUACGGAUUCGUCCACGUGACUCUUCUGAAUGUUUCAGUGGUAAAGUGUGUAAAGUAUGAC